rnacentral:ncRNA from 2 species
GAUUGAUGACAAGGGAGCUUGCACGGAAGCGGGCUGAGAGUGGGCUGACACCGCCCAGACCUAUAACCUGAUUUGGAUAAUGCCAACGUAGGGAUGCGUUUAUAAGGGAUU